UACAGAGGUCUCAAGCGUUGUUCGGAUUCAUUGGGCGUAAAGGGUGCGUAGGCGGCGCGGUAAGUCGGAUGUGAAAUCUCGGAGCUUAACUUCGAAACUGCAUUCGAUACUGCCGUGCUUGAGGACUGGAGAGGAGACUGGAAUUUACGGUGUAGCAGUGAAAUGCGUAGAUAUCGUAAGGAAGACCAGUGGCGAAGGCGGGUCUCUGGACAGUUCCUGACACUGAGGCACGAAGGCCAGGGGAGCAAACGGG
rnacentral:rRNA from 1 species